UGGGGAAUAUUGCACAAUGGAGGAAACUCUGAUGCAGCGACGCCGCGUGAGUGAAGAAGGUCUUCGGAUCGUAAAACUCUGUCCUUGGUGACGAAAAAAAUGACGGUAGCCAAGGAGGAAGCCCCGGCUAACUACGUGCAGCAGCCGCGGUAAUACGUAGGGGGCGAGCGUUGUCCGGAUUUACUGGGCGUAAAGGGUGAGUAGGCGGUAAUAUGUGUCAGAUGUAAAAGGCUAUGGCUUAACCAUAGUUAGCAUUUGAAACUGUAUUACUUGAGUGCAGGAGAGGUAAGUGGAAUUCCUAGUGUAGCGGUGAAAUGCGUAGAUAUUAGGAGGAACACCAGUGGCGAAGGCGACUUACUGGACUGUAACUGACGCUGAGUCACGAAAGCGUGGGUAGCAAACA
rnacentral:rRNA from 1 species